GACGAACGCUGGCGGCGCGCUUAACACAUGCAAGUCGAACGGGCCUGCCUGGCUUUGGUUGGGUGGGUGAGUGGCGAACGGGUGAGUAACACGUGAGUAACCUGCCCUCUUCUCUUGGAUAACUGCUUGAAAGGGCGGCUAAUACGGGAUGUUCUGGCUGCCUCGCAUGGGGUGGUUUGGAAAGAUUCGGCCUGGUUUUGGUUGUUUUGGUGGGGGAUGGGCUCGCGGCUUAUCAGCUUGUUGGUGGGGUGAUGGCCUACCAAGGCGGUGACGGGUAGCCGGCCUGAGAGGGUGGACGGUCACACUGGGACUGAGACACGGCCCAGACUCCUCGGGAGGCAGCAGUGGGGGAUUUUGCACAAUGGGCGCAAGCCUGAUGCAGCGACGCCGCGUGAGGGAUGGAGGCCUUCGGGUUGUGAACCUCUGUCGCCGGUGAUGUAG
rnacentral:rRNA from 1 species